UUUCACAACUUUGAGAUUCACCAUAACCUUCACUUCCAAAUCAUUAUGCAUCUUCAAACCUUCACCAUAUUCGUCACUUCUAAAACUUCUUUUUCAAUCUUCAUCCUCCAAUCAUCAUCUUCCUCAUUCACCUUCUUCAACCUCUUCCAUCAUCUUCACCAGCCUUUAACUAACCUCCUCCAUCAUCAUUAACACAUUACUAUCUUCCCACACCAACCAUAAAACCGUAACCACCACCAAUUCAUCACCAUCACCAUAUCUCAAUUGUAGCAACAUUCAACUUACUCCAAUCACCAUAUAGAACCUCAAUCAACCUUCAAACCACCAUCAACUUCAAUCGAACCUCCUCACAAUAUUAACAAUAACCAACAUACAACACAACAACAAAUCCAAAAAUCAGAAAGCAAAACGAGAAAUUCAGGAGCAAGAAAGUAGAAUAUGAGAAGCAAAAAUCAGAAAAGAGAAGAAGGCGAGAAGAAGAGGGGAUCAAUCACAAGAAACAAAUAAAUUUUACCUUGACGGAAAAUUCAUCUGAGUUAUAGGAAACGGUAUAACACUCACCAAAAAACUCAUAAAGUCGCUGGAAACUGCAAAAUUCGCUGGAAUUUGUUAUUUUUAUUCUUUUUCAUUCUGACCGGUAAGCACUCAACACCUUCAAUUUUGCUUUGUGUUUUCUCAUCCUUCUUUUAUCUUGCUUAAAUCUGAAUCGAGUGAGAUAUGUAUAUUGUCGUUGCUAUGAUUUUUUCUAAAAAAACUCUUAAAUCGUGAGAGAGAAAGUGAAAUCAGAAGGCCAUGUUCUUCAUUCUAUCUGUUGAAAUCUGGACCGAAUGAGGUGAGGCAUGAAGAGAGUUUUAUUAUCUUCUUUCUCUUUUCUGAAAAAACCGAUUGAAAACAAGUAUGAACAUGGAGAGGGAUUUAAGCCGAGAGAGAGUUUGAUGGUGUUUAUUAUUUGUUGAUAAAAAUCGAUUGUUGUUUGAAACAGAAAUGUAUAAACAUGAUAAAGAUCUUGAAUCGCGAGAGACGACUUUCUGUUGUUAAUUUCUUUUCCAAAUAUGUGUCUGUGUUGUUUUAUUUAUUUGAUUUUUUUCUGAAAUUUUAACAUGGAGAAGAAGAGAGUUGUGGUGUUGUUGUCUUUCCAAAUUUGUGUUCAUAUAAAAAGGUCUUGAAACGUGAGAGGUGAUUUGAUGUUAUUGUUCGUUUUUUGUGAGUUGGUGAGAAAGAAGAAGGAGAUAAACAAGGGAGAAAAGUGAGAACCGAGAGAGAGAAAGAAUAUUUUAUUUGUUUUUUUCUUCUGAAAAAUCAAUUUUAACCAAGAGAAAGUUGAGGAGAGAGAAUUUUCAAUUUGAAUUUGAUGUAAGUGGAGGCAUAUGACUUUCCAUCCUAUUCUCCCCAUAUCACUUACGACUUAAGUUUGUGUGAUGGAUUAGGCCUUGGACCCAUUGAUCUACACCCCCAUCCUAAUCGGAUUCACCCCAUUGCUAUUUUUAUUUGGCCUUUUUAUUUUCUUAUUGUUUAAAUUCUGAUUUGUAUGGUGAG
rnacentral:lncRNA from 1 species